rnacentral:rRNA from 1 species
UACGGGGGGGGCAAGCGUUGUUCGGAAUUACUGGGCGUAAAGGGCUCGUAGGCGGCCAACUAAGUCGGAUGUGAAAUCCCCAGGCUCAACUUGGGAACUGCAUCCGAUACUGGAUGGCUUGAAUUCGGGAGAGGGAUGCAGAAUUCCAGGUGUAGCGGUGAAAUGCGUAGAUAUCUGGAGGAAUACCGGUGGCGAAGGCGGCAUCCUGGACCGACAUUGACGCUGAGGUGCGAGAGCGUGGGGAGCGAACCGG